UACAGAGGGGGCAAGCGUUGUUCGGAAUUACUGGGCGUAAAGGGCGCGUAGGCGGCCUUCUAAGUCGAACGUGAAAUCCCCGGGCUCAACCCGGGAACUGCGUCCGAUACUGGAAGGCUUGAAUCCGGGAGAGGGAUGCGGAAUUCCAGGUGUAGCGGUGAAAUGCAUAGAUAUCAGGAGGAACACCUGUGGUGUAGACGGCUUACUGGGCCAUGACUGACGCUGAGGCACGAAAGCGUGGGGAGCAAACAGG
rnacentral:rRNA from 1 species